CCUGUGCAUGGCGAAGUCUAACACGAGAACCAGCUUCAUCAAUCAAAUCAAUUGCUUUAUCAGGCAGAAAACGGUCACUGGAACAAGCAAAGGUUCAAGUUAAAAGCGUGCUCAACCAUAAAUGAGUUAUCAUGGAAUCAAGGAAAAAUAUUUGAAGGUUCAAGUUAAAAGCAUGGUCAACUAUAAAUGAGUUAUCAUGGAAUCUAGGUAAAUAUUUUGCCGUGGAGAUAAAUGUGCCAAUUUUCAGGAGAAGAUAAAAAUAUGCAUAAGCUUAUUCAGAUGUCAAUAUAAAAGAAACCAACUUCUAAGACACUAUAUAAAGAACAUAAUAACCAUUUUGGGAAGGAUAUAUCUUAAUAUACACGUAAAAUCAGUUGGUUAUGAAAACCCAAUGUCAAAAUGUACCAACAACUCUAAGCGAGGAGAGACUACGGGAAAGUUGGAAAAUGGAAGUAUCAUUAAACCU
rnacentral:lncRNA from 1 species